GCCUAUUAGCUAGCCCCACCAGCCAAACCAAACAAGUAAACAUAAAUAACCCCAAAAGCACUUAACUUUGUUAAACAAAACAUUUUUCCCCUUGAGUAUAGGCGAUAGAAAAAGGCCACAAGGGCGCAAUAGAAAAAGUACCGCAAGGGAAAGCUGAAAGAGAGAUGAAAUAGACCAGUAAAGCCACAAAAAGCAGAG
rnacentral:rRNA from 1 species